UACAGAGGUCCCGAGCGUUGUUCGGAUUCAUUGGGCGUAAAGGGUGCGUAGGCGGCGGGGAAAGUCUGAUGUGAAAUCCUGGGGCUCAACCCUGGAACUGCAUUGGAUACUUCCUUGCUAGAGUACUGGAGAGGAAACUGGAAUUUACGGUGUAGCAGUGAAAUGCGUAGAGAUCGUAAGGAAGACCAGUGGCGAAGGCGAGUUUCUGGACAGUUACUGACGCUGAGGCGCGAAAGCGUGGGGAGCAAACAGG
rnacentral:rRNA from 1 species